CUGAUUCAGUCUAAUGGAGGCAGACGGGCAGUUUUCAUGUAUGUAUUUAUUUAAUUUUAAAAGGGGCCCCCAGAAAAUAAUUUCAGUUUUAACAGAGGUGAAAGAUAAAGUUUCAAUGGUGCCAUGCCAUAAUAAUUUAACUCUUCUCAUAGCAGCUGUUCUUGACUGAUUUGCAUUCUCAUUUGUCAUCAGCUUAGUUUUAUCUCUUGCAUUAAGAGUUCUCACAGUUAUACAUACAUUCCUUGAACCUAGAGCUUAGGGAUGUCACAACGGUUUGCAAGGCUGGCCAUAUAGCUUUUCACCUCCAGCAAAUGCAGGAACCUGUGUAUGUGUUUGUGGCAGGUUUCACAUACAUGACACCAUUGGGCGAGUAGGUCAGUGACUCUUAUGGUGGAGAGAGACAUGGGCUCUCCCCCUCCGCCAUAUGCAUCAUAUCAUGUGCGAAGCAGGUGCUCCAAAUGGAAUACAGAUUCCCAUGGAGGCCUGAUUUGUGUGAUUCUUCCCUUUGGAGUGGAUGGGAGAGAUUACACAAAUUUUACUUAAGCAAAUCCAGGGAUUAGGACCUGCUCCCACACCAUGCAAAGGGGACUGCUGGUUUGGAAAGUGUGCAAACUGAGCUACAGGGUAUCUCUUUUCCACAGCUGUAAACUCACUCGGUUUGUUAUGAAAUCCAAUGCUUAAUGUGUUCAGGUGCAGAUCCUAAAAUGUAGGCACUGCACUCCAAAAGUCAGGAGUGGCAGUCUGUUUAAGCAUGCAUUUGUGGGUGUUUAUUCUGGUAUGUUAGGAGCCCACCCUAUGUCAGGCUUCAGAGAACCUGAUCCCUCCCCUGGUGGCAGCCAAGAAGCAGAUAAACAAGAAGAAUUCUUACCAAGUAAUUUAUUCACUGUGCACAGAGACGAAUGAAUGCAGUCUCCCUAAGAUAAUGGCGUUGUUCCAAGUAAAGUCCCAUUCCCUCCGUCUCUCCUAUUCUGUGUCAUCCCUGUGCCGGCCGAUCUGAGCUUUCUGCCUCUGCGCUUUCUGUUCUACUACUCUCAAUGCCUGCCUAGUCCUGGGAGGAGUGUGCACACUCAAGAAUGCUUUCCAAAGACACUGAGUCUGUCAUCAGUCUCUCCCCUGGUGCUUCUUCUUCCUGCUGUUCUUCUCCCAGUAUUUCCCAGCUUUCCCCCUCUGCAGCCUCUGAACUCUGGCCUUCUGCAAACCACUGUUCUAAAUCUAUACUGUCCUCCUGCUCUCGGGAAGGUUCAGGUGAAGGGGGGAGCAUCUCCACCAGUCCUCCACAGUCCAACCCCUGACACCCUAUGGUUUGCCAUAUGGGAUUUGUUGUUGAAGUCUGUAGCCUGUAACAAUCCAAUUGGUUGGUCCCCAAUCCUAUGAGGUCACACAGUGGGAUUCAUGAGGAACAGGCUGCCAAAAGCAUGACUACAUAAUGCCCCCUUCCCCAUGUGACAAGGCAGUGGGCAGCCUGCAGGUUCCAUGUUUAAGUACUCUUGUGGCCCCCUUAGUAUGAAAACUUGGACUGCUUAGCUAAGGCAGAUGCUUCUCAAAUUAUUAUUUGAAUUACAUAUGGCAAUGUGAAAGCCUACGUUAAAAAAUGGGUGUAAAGAUUAUGAGAAUCCUGUAUUAGUUUUUUCUCUGUACAGAGAAAAGAAUCAAUCUACUUACAGGAAGUCUGAAUAAAUGGAUUGUUACUCCAUUUACAAGCAACCCUACCCUAAUGUGUGCAGACCCCCACUAAAUGAAUGCUACAAGUGUAUAAUUAAAUUAUAUGCUUGUGAAGACUAGCACAAUUAAAACCAGGGAUGAGGAGGCACAAAAGAUUAAUCCCUCUAAAUCAGGGCUUUGCUAAUUUAGUGAGCAGGAAAUACAAUUAAGGGAAAUAACAUAUUAAAAACACCUACACAAAUAUCGAAACAUCUCUUGAGUGCAUUAAAACUUGUGUGUCCGUAUAAGGAGAAAACUUCAUUUCCUUAAUAAAAUCAAAUUAGAAAACUGAACUCAUUCAUACCCUGGAGAAAAAUUUGCACCUCAAAAUGUUCCGAGCAGAAUAUCAUCGGAAGCUGAAAGGAAAUCACGAUGUUAUUUAAACAUUUUAUAAUGCUCUGAGGUUAUGGUUUUAGAUAGCAAUUCAAAUUCUAGAAGAGGAAUUUGGAGGAACAGGGACUGCUUUGCAUUAACAUUAUACACUUGCAUUUUCUAUGGCAGAAUAAAGUGGCAAUGCUUUUUGCAUUUGUAAAACAAAGCAACCAUCUUGGUCCCCAAAAUAUUAGCAUUCCAUUGCUAUUCUCACUGCUAGGAAGGAGCGCUUUUAUCUCUCCACCUCAUGGGGUGGUUUAUGUGGCUAGUAGCUCCCAUUUCACAGAUAGGCACAGACAGGUAGUGUGGUCGCUGUGUGUGGCCCUGACCUCAUUUUUUGCAAUCUCUAACACUUCCUUCUUCCAUGCUACAAAACUGAAUUUUAAAAAAAAAUGUAAAGGAAGCUGCUGUAUGUAAGUGAUAGAGAAUAUAAAGCAGCGGUGAGGGAACUUGGUAUCCUACAGAUGUUCUGGACCACAACUCUUAUCGUCCUCGUCCCUUGGCUGUGCUAGCUGGGGCUGAUGGGAGUUGGAGUCCAUCAACAUAUGGAAGACACCAGGUUUCCUGUCCCUGGUACAAGGUGUUGCAAGUGUAAGGCACCAGGUUAACUCCCUGACUACCUAAAAGGCAAGAGCAAUAAGGAAAUCCUGGGGAAAACCUCUGGUCUGGGGACAGGGUAGCUGAAGAGGUAACUCCACUGAGAGCCCAAGGAGCCAUUGUCCUUCAGAGUAGACAAUACCAAGCGAGAUGGGCCAAUGAUCUGACUCAGCAUAGGGCAACUUCAUGUGUUGAUGCUCAGUAUCAAUUUGCAACACAAUAAUUAGUUCCACAUAGUUUUGGGGCUACUCAGAGGAUAUACACCCCCGGUAAAAGGUGCAAGUGCAAUAAUUUCCUCCACCACCCUCAUGACUAGAUAGCAUGUGCAUUUGAUUUCACAGUUCUCUUUUGCAGCGAGAAGACAAGAAAGGAUUGCUGGAGGCCGGCUCAAAAACAAGACAAAGUCGCAGGAGGACAUCAUGAUCUCCAAGAUUAGGAAAUGAUCCCUCACGUUGUGCUAAAGAGGGAGGGUUAAAUCAAAGCCUCAAUGAUCCAACAUUCCUGAUAGUGCACAUUCACCAGCAAAAAAAGCCAGGAGGUCUGAAUGCCGUUGAUGUUCUACCUGUGCAUUUGUUGGGAAACGGGGUUGACAUGGCCUUGUGAUAAGGAUCUGCUUUUCCUUCCAAAGAAUGCAUCCCAGAACACUUGUUGAGGAAUACCCAUAGAAGUUGACCAGCAGUGAGAACCCAAUGUGGGUCCAGCCCAAGCAACCGAGAGACCAAAUGUUCAAUCAUGGAUGAGCGGACAGCACUGGAUCGGCCACUCCUGGUUAGUGGGAAAGGAUAGUAGCCUGCAGCUCUGCUGCACAGGUCAUUGAAGGGAUAUAGUCCACAUUCCUAUAAAUCAGAAAUGAGUCCCAGAACAUAGACAAAGCAUUAGGAAGACUAGAAGAUCACACACACACACACACACACACACACACACACACACACACACUGCAGGCACUGAAGAUAAUACUGUACAAUGCAUUUCCACUCGUUCACAAUACAGUGAGCCACGAAGCCAAGUGGAUGGAGCCCGAGGGCCUUGUAUUCUGCUGGACUGGUUUAAUGUUUUACUGAAAUUGAUGAUGUAGCUCAUUUGCAUACAUGGGGGGGGGGGGAGAAGGUUGUAUGCAUUGUGUAACUUGUGCCAGAGGUUUCGUUAAGAAGUUCUGGAUAAUGAUAUGAAUUAUUUAGGCAAGGUCUCACUCCAUACGUGUGCAUUACUUUUUUCUUUUUUUUUGCUAAGGACUCUCUGUUCUUAAUCAAAGGUACAUGGAAACAUCAGGCUGCUUAUUUUAAAAGCCUGCCUCAGCCUGUUAAUGGAGUGUGGAAAUAACCCUGGAAGGUAAAGCACACCUGAAGUUUGUCUUUCCCUGAAGCAAACAUUGAUCUUUACUUAAAAAGAUUAUAAUAAAACCAGGAUUUGUGUGAUUUUAUGAUAACGCCUGCAGUCCAGUUACAAUCUAAGGCGUGUCUAGUCAGAAACAAGUCCUACUGUGUUCCAUGGGACAUUGUCCCAGAUAAGGGGGCAACCUUGGUUUAUCAAGCUGAAAUUUCCAAUUCCCACACCACCUCAAACAAAUAUGAACAAAAAUGAUUGCUGAUAGAUUUGUCAAAGAUGGGAGGAAAGAAGAAAUGUUUGUACUCUUGAUAGAUGUUUUCAUAGGAAAAUUGGGACGCACAUACAGUACUAUCCUAAAAUACACAUUUUUAAUACAUUUUGGUACAUUUUUUUGAGCCAAGAAUUGUAUUGAAAAAUUCUGAGAACUUUGAAAUCCAAAAGAUAAUUACAUUGUUCCAAUCCGCACACGCACACACCACUUUAUUGUAAAUAGAACUUCUAAGUUGUUUACAAAAUAAAGCAAAUAUUAAAAUUGGCAAUAAAAGACAAAAUUAAAAGCAAAUAUUUUUUUUAAAUGCAAAAUAUAAUUAAAACCAACAGCAGAAAACAGAUUAAAGCACUGGUCACCUUCUGCAUGUCUGCCUGAACAAAAAUGUUUUUAACAGGCACUGAAGAGAGCACAGCGAAGGCACCUGCCUGAUGUCAAUGGGCAGGGAGUGUUGGUGCUGCUAUGCUCAAAGACUGGUUCCUUACAAGUGCAGAAUGCAUAUUAUGUGCACCUGUAACUGUGCUUGUUUGACAGAUUGAAGUGGUCAGGUGUCACAUAUGGGUAAGCCGAUCCCUCGAGUACACUGGCCCCAAGCUUUUAAGGGUUUUAUAUACUAAUAGCAACACUCUGAACUUGAGUAACAAACCAGCAUUAGUCCACAAAGUUCCAGAUCAGAUCAGUUCACAUCAGAAUUCAGAUCCCGAAUUGCCCUAGUCAUGACACUGCCUCCAUGGCUCAGCUUUCAAUGAGGGCAAAAGCACGAGAGCUACAAUGGGCUGCCCUCAAACUAUGGGAAAGUCCCUGUAGUGUGAAGAACGCUGUUCAAAAUUAGCAACAGGGAAACCUCCCACUUUGCCUGGAGGCUACUGAGUUUCCGCUCCUGAGCCGGGCCCCUAAUUGCUAGCUGAGCGCUGUCCAUUUUAUGUUCUAAGAGGCACCUCAUUAAGCUUUAAAAAGAGCAUCGUGGGGAACAACAAAGCAGCUCACCUCCUGUGUGGCCCUCCAGAUGCAAUUGGACUUCAACUCCCGUAACCCCCAGCCAGGAUGAGCAACGGUCAGGAAUGAUGGGAGCUGUAGUCCAGCAACAUCUGGAGGGCCACAGGUUCCCCACCCCUGUGAUAUGCCUGCACACUGUGGCAAUUCUCCUGCAGCAGCUGCGACACCAAGGGCCCCACCCAUCUCAUUCGUUGCUCCUCCACUGUACAUCUUGCUGUUUCAAUCAGCACCUGCAGGACUAUCCUGCAAAGAUUAAAAUGUGAUCGGUGCCUUCCGCCUGGUUGCCGUCCAGCAAAAACAGGUACAUGGAAUCCAAUCCCAGGCACAUGAGUGCAUUUCACUGCCUCUCUAGAGAACACGAUGUUUUAUUAAGCUUUGCUGGAGCAAGAGGGAUUGUGGAAUGACUAGCAUAUGAAAAACACGUGUGCAUUGAUUACUGGCUACCUUGUAACAUAGAUUCGUAGACUCUCAGAAUUGUAAGGGUUGUCUAGUCCAACCCCUAGCAAUGCAGGAAUCAGUGUGUGGCUC